rnacentral:rRNA from 1 species
UACGGGGGGGGCAAGCGUUGUUCGGAAUUACUGGGCGUAAAGGGCGCGUAGGCGGUUCGCUAAGUUGGAUGUGAAAACUCUGGGCUCAACCCAGAGCCUGCAUCCAAAACUGGCGGGCUAGAGUUCUGGAGGGGGUAGCGGAAUUCCUGGUGUAGCGGUGAAAUGCGUAGAUAUCAGGAGGAACACCGGUGGCGAAGGCGGGUCUCUGGGCAGUAACUGACGCUGAGGAGCGAAAGCGUGGGGAGCGAACAGG